GUGAAGACUGGAAGUAGCAGGGAUCAUUGUUGAGAAUGACGUUUGAACGUUUGAAGACACCCCUGAGCCUGGAGAUGUUGAGUAGUACAGGUCUUUCAUAAGUGAAUUUUCCAAACUGAUGAUGUGACAGGAAAAAGCCAUAUACGGGUGGCCAUUACAUUGUGUACCCCUCUUUGGGAUUUGUGAAAAUCAUCAGCUGGAAUCCCAGGCCAUCGUUCACCUAAUAAAUCAUCAGAAAGAGAACAUACACCCUGCAGCCAAGAAGAAAAGCCCAGUUAUUAAUGGAAGACUUUGAUCACAUAAUCAUGAUUUUUAAAAGUCCUAUUAAGAGAAUGAUAGCCCUGGAGAGAGUCCUAUGCAGUUGGAUGUUGAGAAUUUCACACCUAAGCAAGACCUACAGCAGCACCAGGACCAUUUUCUCCAUGUCUAUUAGUAGAUACAAGAGCUAAGUUUGACAGUUUCAUUUUCCCUCUGCAUUUACUGUUUUAAUCAUCAGAUGAAAAAUAAAAGUAAUAGAAAUUGGAAUUAAUUCUAGGUUUAAAGAGUGUUUGACUUCACUGAAGCUAACUCCUGGAAAGAAGUGUAUAG
rnacentral:lncRNA from 1 species